rnacentral:rRNA from 1 species
CUCUUCGGAGAUAGUGGCAGACGGGUGAGUAACGCGUGGGAACCUACCCUUUGGUACGGAACAACAGUUGGAAACGACUGCUAAUACCGUAUGUGCCCUACGGGGGAAAGAUUUAUCGCCAAAGGAUGGGCCCGCGUUGGAUUAGCUAGUUGGUGAGGUAAUGGCUCACCAAGGCGACGAUCCAUAGCUGGUCUGAGAGGAUGAUCAGCCACACUGGGACUGAGACACGGCCCAGACUCCUACGGGAGGCAGCAGUGGGGAAUAUUGGACAAUGGGCGCAAGCCUGAUCCAGCCAUGCCGCGUGAGUGAUGAAGGCCUUAGGGUUGUAAAGCUCUUUCAGCGAGGAGGAUAAUGACGUUACUCGCAGAAGAAGCCCCGGCUAACUUCGUGCCAGCAGCCGCGGUAAUACGAAGGGGGCUAGCGUUGUUCGGAAUCACUGGGCGUAAAGCGCACGUAGGCGGAUUGAUAAGUUAGGGGUGAAAUCCCAGGGCUCAACCCUGGAACUGCCUUUGAUACUGUCAGUCUAGAGACCGAGAGAGGUGAGUGGAACUCCGAGUGUAGAGGUGAAAUUCGUAGAUAUUCGGAAGAACACCAGUGGCGAAGGCGG